UGUGAAACGCAAUCCUAGCCCCUUGUCACAAACAGCAGUUAUUUUAAAACUUCAAACUCCGCCACCUCGAGACGACCAUAGCAGUAGUAACGACGCUAACAUCGACCAAACCCAACUGACGGAUCUCUUCUUUAAUUUAGGAAUAAAACUAAAACGAUCACCCGCCUCAUCCAGGUUCAGUUGUUCUCCUCCUGGUGGCGCGUAUCCAAUGUCUAUACCGGUAGUUCUCCCCGGAUCGUGUUACCCUGUAACUAGGGUUUCUUUGCGUUCUCAGUUGGCAGACUCGUCGUUCAGGAGCCGGCCGCCCCGCUGUAUAUCUAGCUCUCGCAUGCCUGGUUCUCAGUCGCAGCUGCUACCAGCGCUUCUCCAAGGCGGCCCACUGCUCUCCCUCGGAUUACUGCAGCUGGUUCUCGGCUGCUCCAUGGUCGCGCUCUCCUUCUCAGCUCUCUCCCUCAGCAGCUCGCCACCCAUCCGAAACUCAUGCCCUUUCUGGGUCGGAUCUUCAGUGAUCCUGUCAGGGAUCGUUGGCCUCACAACUUGGAGGAGACCCAUGCUGCUGCUGGUGAAUAUGUUUGUGCUGUCGUCAGUGGUGUGUGUUCUUCUCAACCUGGCCGGCUUCAUCCUCUGUUGUCAAGGAGCUCAGAUGGUCUCCACCAUAACCAACUGUCAACUGAGUGAGGUGGGAGAUGUGUGUAACUGCUGUCCUCAAACCCCCACUGCCAAGUGUCCUGAGGACAAACUACUCAAACUCUACCCUGGACACUCCUGUAGUACCAUGAGGGUCCUACUCAAGAAGGUUCUGUUUGCGCUAUGUGCUCUGAAUGCUCUGACCACUGCAGUGUGUCUGGUGGCUGCUGCCUUCCGAUACCUACAGGUCUUCACCACCAGAAGACCAUGUAUGGAUGAUCCCAGGCCAAUUGCAGAGGAGGUGGAGGAGCCAACUAUUAUCCCUGACCCGGAUGAGUUUGUCCCCCCUGCCCCUCCCCCCUCCUACUUUUCAACCUUCUACUCCUACACACCACGGCUGGCUCGCAGGAUGUUUGGGGACAGUGUGACACCACUACCUCAUAUCUAUGGUGCCAGGAUUAAAGGAGUAGAGGUGUUCAGUCCUUUAGACCCACCCCCUCCCUACGAAGCUGUUACUGGAGGCUCCGCCCUGGCCAGCGCAACACAGGAGACAGAGAUUCAGAUUCCCGUGACGGAUCUGACAGAGUUGACAGAAGAGUUGAAUAACAGCUCAGAGGCGGGUACUUCAAUUAGAGACGUUGCUCCCCAGACGACGGUUAUGGCGGUGCCCACAUCUCCGCCGUCUUACCCCUCUCCGCCAUCACCCCCCCUGCUCCAGGCCAGACCCCCCCAGGGUGCCCCGGUGCCCCCCCGUCAGGAGGUCUCAGCGCCAGAGAAUCAUGCACUCCUACAGUGACCCUGUACUAUUGGACCUGGCUGCCAAAGAUGCGUGGGCCACUUGUAGGUGUACUGCUGUGUUGGUCGUCGUAUUGACAUACGUAAUUGGAUCCUCACAGUAUUAAGUUGUGAGGCGGCCACACAGACCACCCAGACUUCCCAGUCCGCACUGGCCGCCCAGUCCUCUCGGACCCAGACAGUGACCCUCCGGCAGGGAGGUAGAGGCCCUCGGCGACCCCGGCCCUCCUCCAUGGU